rnacentral:rRNA from 1 species
UACGUAGGGUGCGAGCGUUAAUCGGAAUUACUGGGCGUAAAGGGUGCGCAGGCGGCGUCGCAAGUCAGGCGUGAAAUCCCCGGGCUUAACCUGGGAACUGCACUUGAAACUACGAUGCUGGAGUAUGGCAGAGGGAGGUGGAAUUCCACGUGUAGCGGUGAAAUGCGUAGAGAUGUGGAGGAACACCGAUGGCGAAGGCAGCCUCCUGGGCCAAUACUGACGCUCAUGCACGAAAGCGUGGGAGCAAGCAGG